GUGUUAACUAUCAAUUACGUGGUAUAUAUAUUGAAGAAUUCAGCUAAAAGUUUCACCUACUGUGUAUCUAUAACAUUUCCCUUUUACAGCUCUCCCUGGGAAAAUUGAAAUUGCUGUAUACUUGGCCUUAAGAUCGAGCAUCGAUAAGAUAAUAACCGACACUCCUGACUGGAUAUGCAAGGUCCAAAUCAUCGACAUCAGUCGAGAGAGAAAAAGUACAGAGAAGCAAAUUCAAUUUCAAAAUCUCAUUUUAGAGGAUGAACAGGUAUACGUCCAAACUUGGCAACCAAUUCACUAUUAGUAUACAGACACCAAUUGCAACAUGGAACUUGAUCGGCUCUUUGAUUGGGACAACAACAUCUAAGACUUGAUUGACAAAUUUGAUCUUUUGAAGCAUGUAACUUUUUUAUUAGCAUUCCAGCUUCUCUGCAUAUGUUUUCAUGCUUUAUAACUUCACCUUCAUUCUUGGAAAGAUUUUGUUAUUACAAAAGGCUCUUGCUUUUGAUAGGAAUAUAACUUGUAUUGUUUCCUCUGAAUACAGAAUAAACUUUGAUCCUGAAGAUCUAUUAAUUUGGGGUACCUGUUGCACUCAAUUUUUCCAGAUUACAGAUUACUCUUUUUAGCAUAAACUUGACUCUUAACUUGAGAAAUCUCUAAAUUUUUUUUCUAAUCUUAUGAAUUGCUGUAUUAUUUACUAUAAUAUGACACUGCACUUCCUUAUCAGAGUAAGACCAAAAGAAAUAUAUCUCUAAAGAAGGCAACCAAUAAAAAAUCAUUUGAACAUCAAGACACCAAAGAAAUCCAAGAAAAUCCAACCUACUCCAAAAAUGGUUAUUUUGUUUACCUACACGGUAUGAAUGAUUUCAAUUUUACAGGGACAACAAAUCAGGGCAGCUGUGUAUGGCGAUGACAUUGUUAUACCUAUCUGAAAUGGCCAUUACAGUUUGCUUGCAGGAACUGUCCUCUUUUUUAGCUGACUUUUGCCUACUGGAAAAUGAUCAAUUUCUUUUUGGACGGCUCUGAGUCAACACACUUCUACUCAAUAUGCAUGACCAGCCAUUUAAAAUUAGGGAGCAGUAUAACAAAUUGAAUGCAGAUUUAGCAACUUCUUGUGCCACUUCACUGCUCUUGACUUAGUGGCAAGGAAAUAUACCACUUUCAGCUAGACUCUGGUAUACACGUAUUAGAACAACAUCUUAUUUAUUGGAAGCCUUAGAAACUUAACUUUUCUACACUAAAUGAAGUAGUUGUAGAUUAUACUAGCUUUAACUAUAUUAAGGCCACUAUUUACCAGCUAAAGUAAAAGUAUUUCCCAGAUUCCAAGUCACUGCUGCCUCUGCUAAUUAUUUUAAAAGAACAUUCACAUGCUUCCUUUUUUGUCGGCCGAAUCUGUGAACUAUGGAUUGAUUUUAGAAAGAUGAUUCUGGUGGUAAUUCACUUCCUGGCAGGCAUAGAGAUGAUGUAGAAAUAAUGAUGGCUCCAACAAAAGUAUCCUAGAGGAAGAACUACAACAAGAUGCAACCAUUGUGCUGCCUCAGGUCAUCACAAGUGUGGAAAUAGAAAUUAAAUACAGUAAAUUUUGUUGGGAUCUAUCUUCUUUUAAGUAAUUCAAAUAUAAGACUUUCCUCACUUAUUUCUUGAAUUUUUAAAAUAUCUAAUUUUGGGUUUAUGGGAGAAACUCUAAUCAAUAUUCUUUUUUUGUGGUUUUACUUUUAUAUUUGUGUUAGGUUAGAAUAUGUGAAUGUGCUGCUUAUGUCUCGCAGUCCACCUGGAUACAAUCUGGGACUUGGAGCUUUUCUCGCAUGGAGAUCAUAGUCUUGCUUAAUCAUUUCUAAAGCAUUAUAUGACACCAAUUACGGACUGCCAACUUUGGUAAACAAGGUCAAUUCCGAAGCCCAUUUGUUGGAGCGACACCUAUGAUGUCAGAAGGUUGGAAUUAGUGAAUUACGUUUUGGUUUUGGAUUGGAUUAAGGGAGAAACAAUGCUAUUAGAUGAUGCUGGUGAUAUGCUUCUUUUAUAGAAAGCCGCCGGAUCGACUUCUCGAGAUCUCUGAGUGGGUUUACGUUUUUGAUUGUUGCUUCUCCACUGACGUGUUGGAUGAAGAUGAGUACAGGACAUAUAUGGGAGGGAUUGUCGCUCAGUUGCAGGACCACUAUGCAGAUGCUUCUUUCAUGGUUUUAGAGCUGCUUCAUCUUUUGUCACCUCUGAAUCCACAGUCACCUAGCUUAGGUAUCUCCAGAAAAAUUUUUGGUUCAGAAUGGCUGCCAUCAGAUACACCUUUUGCCUUAGAUACUUAGUUUUACUUUUCUAUUUGAUGGCGGGAGAGGCUGUCGGCCUGUACUUCACAUCUAUGGACAAAACCCUUCUUCAACAAGCCUUUGAUGGCGUGAUAUUAUCUUUCUUUGGUAAUGGCCUCACAGAAAUGGUGGCUCUAUGUUGGUUCUUCAUCUAACUGCCUGUCAUGGAUAUUCCACUCAAAUUGAUAUGUCAAUCCAUAACUUCCUAUGUUUGUGUAAUCCACUGUGCAUAUUACAUAUAUCUAUGCUGGAUAUAGCCACCAGAAUCAAAGGCUAUUCAUUAAACUUGAAAGAUACUAGCUUUCAUUGAAAUCCAAAAUAGGAAUAAAAUAAAAUAUUGGCCCCGUGCUCAGCACGGGCCCGACCCUUCUAUUGAAAAAAUGAAGAAGAAAAAUAAACAACGUAUUGGUGAGAGCUAAGCAAAGAUUUGCAAAAAGUUAAAUAGAAUUGUGAUUUUAGCAAAUAAUUAUACAUCCUAUGUUCCAACACCAUUAACAACCAGGGACGGACUCACAUGGAGUCCUCCGGGUGCGCGAGCACAAAUUGAACUCGUAUCGAACUUUAUAUAUGUAUAUGGAAAUUAAGAAAAAACGUAUAUAAUCUAAUCAGUGAGCAACCAUAGUAAGAGUUCUUUGGUUAGCCUAGUUAUUGUUUAUGGGUGCUUAAGGCUAUUUAUUUCUUUUGGUCUUGAGUUCAAUUCUCACUCAGCUCAUAUUUUUUUAAUUUUGGUAACCAACUCUUCUCUC